rnacentral:tRNA from 1 species
UCCUCCUUAGCUCAGUCGGUAGAGCGACGGACCGUUAAUCCGCAGGUCGCUGGUUUAAGUCCAACAGGAGGAG